CUCAUCAAGCUUUCUAUAAAUCUCUUUGUUGCUACUCAGACGAGUUCUUGUGAACUUUCCCUCAGCAAGAACCACUUCUCAUAUUGAUGCAUUCCACAUCAAACGACAUUUUCUCCAUCGCUUCAGUUCACAUCAUUCAUAUAUACCAGUGUAAUGUUUCUUGUGUCCCGUUUAACACGAAACCGAGAUUCUUCCACGGGUCUCAAAAAAGUGUUUCCCCUCCAAUACAAGUCCUACAUAGUUUCAUGCACAGAGGACGGCGCUCGCUAGAGUAAUAUUGUUUGGCGAAUUUCAUUAAGGAAGCAGCUUCACCAUGUAAUGUAACGAAACUGUUCCUGAAAUAGCCGGGAAUAAGCGUCACUAUUUAAUUUCUGGUUCUGUGAUCUUUGCAAACCGAAUUAAACCGGGAAUAAAGUAUUGUGUUAAAAGCUAAUUUAAGUAUUAAAAAAUGGAACUAUGAUCACCAAUUCGAGCCCAGUUAAAGUGGUUAUCUCUCUAUAUGUGGCUUAUGGAGGAGAUUCCAUCAGGGUUCGAGCGGCGUAUUGGUACGAAUGGAGAAGGAAAGUUGGUUUCUCUCCAUCUACUUAAUUGAUCCUUCGAUGUCAAUCUAUAAGG